UACGGAGGGUGCAAGCGUUAAUCGGAAUUACUGGGCGUAAAGCGUGCGCAGGCGGUUUGUUAAGUCCGCUGUGAAAUCCCCGAGCUCAACUUGGGAAUUGCAGUGGAUACUGGCAAGCUGGAGUAUGGUAGAGGAAGGUGGAAUUCCCGGUGUAGCAGUGAAAUGCGUAGAGAUCGGGAGGAACACCAGUGGCGAAGGCGGCCUUCUGGACCAAUACUGACGCUCAGGUGCGAAAGCCAGGGGAGCGAACGGG
rnacentral:rRNA from 1 species